GGCUCGUUGGUCAAGUGGUUAAGACGUCGCCCUCUCACGGCGAAGACAGGGGUUCGACUCCCCUACGAGCUA
rnacentral:tRNA from 1 species